GUCCUCUCUUUUGGCAGCACAUAUAAUAAAAAUGGACAGAUGCUACUGAGAUUCUCAUGGGCCUUGUGCAAGGAUGACAAGUAACUCUAUAAAGUACUCCACAGACUU
rnacentral:snRNA from 1 species